CUUCUUUCGUUUACCCAGUAACUUUUUUUAACUUAGGAAAAAAGUUAACAAGUUAAAGUUCAUAUAAUUUUAAUAAUAAAUAGAUGAAGUUGCUUUAACUUUUUAACUAGUUAUUAUCUAACCCUGAUUUUUAUGUACUUGGCAUGUUUUACUUUUUUUUAAAAAAGUUGAAGACCCUGUAGGGCAAACGUAUUAAAUUCAAAAAGUUAAAUUUGAAUAUGUAGUGCUGUAAGCGACAUGUGAAGAUAAGUGAGACAGGACAAGAUUUCUAAAAAUUUAAAAGAUGAAAGAUCUGAAGAAUUGAUUGACAGCAGAAACCCAGAAUUUAUGAACUUGUCGGGGGUGUCAAACGUUCAAUGACGAGGAUAAAAAUUCCUGAUAUCAUUUAUUAUCUUCUCUCGUUUUCUUGUCACUUAGCUCGAGCACCAAAGCAAUUAGAAACUAGCUUUCAAGACGCAUGUAUGCCACAUGCCGCGUUCGAGAAUUAUUAUGGAAAGCACUCGAGCCCGUCGAGCACGUCAUCGUCAUGACCGAAAUGGCUUUAACCGAUCGUGAAACCGCCGCCGUCCGAGUUUUGCACACAUAGAAAGUAACACGCUUUCCUCGCACUUGCUCCCUGCAAGAUCGCUGCUCCUAUUCAAACUUCAUCGCCGAUCACGUGCUCGCCACUGAGCGAAUUUCCUUUCGCCUUGAAAUCGCUUUCAGAUAGUAUAUACAUAUUUUUUUUUACAAACAUACGAGUCAACGUUCCUAAAACGUAAAUUAAAUCCGGUUAAUGUUUUCUUAUUUCGAAAAAUAAUUUAAUUUACAACUAAUUUGAUUAUUGCAAAACAAGUCACACUCGAACAGAAACAAGAUAAAAAAUAUAAAUGUUAAAGAGAUAACAGGAUUUUUAAUUUCUAUUUAAUUUUAGAUAAGAAAUCUAAAAAAGAAGGCAAGUUAAAGCGACAGAUUUGUCACGCUCGUGACGCAAUAAUGUAGGUCUUGACUUGGCAAACAUAUUUAAUGCAAUGUAAGUCUUGACUUGACAAACAUUUAACGAAGUAUCAACACACAUUCGCGCAUAUUCGUGCAUUUUAAUAACAAAUUUUGAAAUAAGUUUAUUGUCCAUUCAAAAGUCACGAUAUAAAUAUAUUUCAAAAAGAAUAAAGAUAAUAUAAAAGUAAAAAAAAAGUUGCAUAUAUCGUUUUAGGCAGAUAAAAUCACGUUUCUCCAUAUGUAUUUUUUCAAUUGUCAUAGAAACAAUAAGUCGACGAGGAACAAAGUUACAAGCGCAUCGAAAGGGCAACAUUAGUUACAUAAGGAAUAUAGGUCAAAGGUAAGUCACCAUUUUUCACGUAAUAAGACACCUUGCGCAACACCAUUUUUUCUGCGAACUCGGACCCGUCGUUUGCCCCAUCAGAUUUAAGAUUAAUAUCAUAUGAUGAAUGGAUUGCAAAUCGUCAUUACGUAGAUAAAUCAUUCAAACUAAUUAGAUCUUACAGUGAAUUAAACAAACAACACUUUGAUUUAUUUGAAUUGUAAAUAAAUUGCGAGGUGCCUAUUAAAUAAAUUAAAAAAAAAUAUUAAUCACAGAUGUGCUUAAAGAAACUUGAUUGAACUUUAACGACGCGACUGUGCUCUCUCGUGACAUUGCGAUUCAUGUCAGUUUAGAUUUCACAGUAAUUUUCUGUAAAUGAUAUGGAGGGGUAGUAAAUUGUGCAAUGCGAAUGUUACAUAAAUGAUGAUUAAAUAAUCGGAAUGAACCGGCGAAAUAGACAAAGUGCACUUGAAUUUUCUAUUGGCAACGGCUCUACUUUUUUCCUAUUAUUCAUUAAAUCCACUUAUAUAAAUUACACAAAUAUUUCUAAAUGCGUUAGUUGAAAGGCAUUCCUUUCUUCAUAAUUAUUAUUUAUCUCCAGUGCGCAAGAUUUAAAGUGUAUUGCCCUUACGUUAAAGGAAAAGUUGGAUCAUUGACACUCUUUGAUGAAGUUUCAACGUUUCUAUUACAUCAGAGAAAUGCCACUAUUAAUGCUCGAAAUCUGUUAAUAUCGUUUAAAACGUUUUACACGCUCUUCAUCAAACUGAGGCUCAAACGGGGCCACGAAUGCUGAGGGUGAAAAUGCGCAAAGGAAGAGAAAGAAAAAGAAGAAAACAAGUGAAGAGAAAGAGGAAUUUAAUAAAGUUAAAAUUCUAAAAAUUAACGGAAAGACAAAAUUUAAAUAGCUAUAUUCGAUAUCAUAGUUAUUAACUUCAUGGCUCCUGGUAUUUAUGGUAUUUUAAGCAAAACAGAAUUUCUUAUAAAAUAUUGUAUUUGUUUAAUUUAUAUUUUGCUUGUAAUAUUCUAACAUGCUGAUAUAAUUCUAAAUAUUAUUUACACAUAUUCUAUUUUUAUAUCUAAUCCUGUUAUAUAUAUAAAAAAAUGUUUUCCAUGUUUUAGUUGAGCUAAUCUGUGCAUGUGCAAAUGCGCGAAAGAAAAAAGAGGGAAAUAUGAGUGAAUUCGAACAUGCGCGAUGGCGUGUUACAGAAGUUACUUUCUCUAAGAUAGCAACAUUGUUUCAAGUCGCGAGGCAUAUGUUGAAGGACUUCAAGAACCCGCCAACUCCAAGAAUUUUAUAAAAUUAGCUCGGUCACGCACGGUGUAACAGGAAUUAUGACACGUGCCUAGUGAGCAGCCAACGAGAACCGGUUAGGCGCACCGCGAAAUCAUUUGAUUGCGAGAUAAGGAAGUCGAGUAUUUAAAUCGCAUUUAUCUCGAUAGCGCAGUCAUUAACCCGAGCAUAUCGAUCGCAUUCUUAGGCAUUAAUUAAGUAUUAAAUUUUAUUAUGCAAAGUUUUCCAAAUUUAAAAAAUUUCUAAAUAAAAGAAAAUUUCAUUAAUUAAAAAUUCGAUGAAAAGUAUUGAUAUUUUACUCCAGAAUGAUGAAAACAAAAUGUAAACUUUCCAGUAGUCUUUAUAUUCUAUUUAAAUAUUAAUAAAAAAAAUUAAUAAAUUUUAAAAAAUUUUUCUAAAAAUUGAAUAUGAAGACAACAAUAUUAAAUAACAAUUUAAUACAUUAUAAGAUAUUUUACUCUUAUAAAAAAUUAACUAUACAAAUAGAAGAGACGUCCCAAAUACAUCGCAAGUUUUUCUUAAAAAAUAUUAAUUAUUGUAAUUUUAUUAAAAAGUUAGUUACUAUUUUUGUCUAGAAUUUGAUCAUCAUUUCUAAUAGAAAUAAUAAGAGGACAAUCGAUUAUUAUUUAAAUAGAAUUAUGUAAAUAUAAUAAAAUAUUUCUACCAAAUAA